UACGUAGGUGACGAGCGUUAUCCGGAAUACUGGGCGUAAAGCGCACGCAAGCGGUUGGACAAGUCUGGCGUGAAAUCUCCUGGCUUAACUAGGAGCGGUCGCUGGAAACUGUCGAGCUUGGAGGCGAUGAGAGGGGUGCAGAAUUCCCGGUGUAGUGGUGGAAUGCGUAGAGAUCGGGGAGGAAUACCAGUGGCGAAAGCGGCACCCUGGCGUCGUACUGAACGCACA
rnacentral:rRNA from 1 species